rnacentral:rRNA from 1 species
GACGAACGCUGGCGGCGUGCUUAACACAUGCAAGUCGAACGGAAAGGCCCUGCUUUUGUGGGGUGCUCGAGUGGCGAACGGGUGAGUAACACGUGAGUAACCUGCCCUUGACUUUGGGAUAACUUCAGGAAACUGGGGCUAAUACCGGAUAGGAGCUCCUGCUGCAUGGUGGGGGUUGGAAAGUUUCGGCGGUUGGGGAUGGACUCGCGGCUUAUCAGCUUGUUGGUGGGGUAGUGGCUUACCAAGGCUUUGACGGGUAGCCGGCCUGAGAGGGUGACCGGCCACAUUGGGACUGAGAUACGGCCCAGACUCCUACGGGAGGCAGCAGUGGGGAAUAUUGCACAAUGGGCGGAAGCCUGAUGCAGCAACGCCGCGUGCGGGAUGACGGCCUUCGGGUUGUAAACCGCUUUCGCCUGUGACGAAGCGUGAGUGACGGUAAUGGGUAAAGAAGCACCGGCUAACUACGUGCCAGCAGCCGCGGUGAUACGUAGGGUGCGAGCGUUGUCCGGAUUUAUUGGGCGUAAAGGGCUCGUAGGUGGUUGAUCGCGUCGGAAGUGUAAUCUUGGGGCUUAACCCUGAGCGUGCUUUCGAUACGGGUUGACUUGAGGAAGGUAGGGGAGAAUGGAAUUCCUGGUGGAGCGGUGGAAUGCGCAGAUAUCAGGAGGAACACCAGUGGCGAAGGCGGUUCUCUGGGCCUUUCCUGACGCUGAGGAGCGAAAGCGUGGGGAGCGAACAGGCUUAGAUACCCUGGUAGUCCACGCUGUAAACGGUGGGUACUAGGUGUGGGGUCCAUUCCACGGGUUCCGUGCCGUAGCUAACGCUUUAAGUACCCCGCCUGGGGAGUACGGCCGCAAGGCUAAAACUCAAAGGAAUUGACGGGGCCCCGCACAAGCGGCGGAGCAUGCGGAUUAAUUCGAUGCAACGCGUAGAACCUUACCUGGGUUUGACAUGGAUCGGGAGUGCUCAGAGAUGGGUGUGCCUCUUUUGGGGUCGGUUCACAGGUGGUGCAUGGCUGUCGUCAGCUCGUGUCGUGAGAUGUUGGGUUAAGUCCCGCAACGAGCGCAACCCUUGUUCACUGUUGCCAGCACGUUAUGGUGGGGACUCAGUGGAGACCGCCGGGGUCAACUCGGAGGAAGGUGGGGAUGACGUCAAGUCAUCAUGCCCCUUAUGUCCAGGGCUUCACGCAUGCUACAAUGGCUGGUACAGAGAGUGGCGAGCCUGUGAGGGUGAGCGAAUCUCGGAAAGCCGGUCUCAGUUCGGAUUGGGGUCUGCAACUCGACCUCAUGAAGUCGGAGUCGCUAGUAAUCGCAGAUUAGCAACGCUGCGGUGAAUACGUUCCCGGGGCU